GAGUUUGAUCCUGGCUCAGGAUGAACGCUGGCGGCAUGCCUAACACAUGCAAGUCGAACGGACUCUUGUAUUAGAAAAUCUCUACAUGCUUAGAGGUUCCCUAAUAUCAGAGUUAGUGGCGGACGGGUGAGUAACACGUUAGUACCUGCCCUUCAGUGGGGAAUAACUCGGCGAAAGUCGAGCUAAUACCGCAUAGGCUCGUUUACGAGUAAAGACUUCGGUCGCUGAAGGAGGGGCUUGCGUCUGAUUAGCUAGUUGGUGGGGUAAAGGCCCACCAAGGCGACGAUCAGUAGCUGGUUCGAGAGGAUGACCAGCCACACUGGGACUGAGAUACGGCCCAGACUCCUACGGGAGGCAGCAGUGAGGAAUCUUCCGCAAUGGGCGAAAGCCUGACGGAGCAAUGCCGCGUGCAGGAUGACGGCCUUCGGGUUGUAAACUGCUUUUAUAUGGGAAGAUUAUGACGGUACCAUAUGAAUAAGGACCUGCUAACUACGUGCCAGCAGCCGCGGUAAUACGUAGGGUCCAAGCGUUAUCCGGAAUCACUGGGCGUAAAGCGUGCGUAGGCGGAUGUUUAAGUGUAAUGCGAAAUCCUGUGGCUCAACCAUAUGGACUGUAUUGCAUACUGGAUAUCUUGAGGAAUGCAGAGGCAAGUGGAAUUACCGGUGUAGCAGUGAAAUGCGUAGAGAUCGGUAGGAACACCAAUGGCGAAGGCAGCUUGCUGGGCAUUAUCUGACGCUAAGGCACGAAAGCGUGGGGAGCGAACAGGAUUAGAUACCCUGGUAGUCCACGCCGUAAACGAUGCAUAUUAUUAGUAUGGAGUAUCGACCCUCUGUGCUGAAAAGCUAACGCGAUAAAUAUGCCGCCUGGGGAGUACGGCCGCAAGGCUAAAACUCAAAGGAAUUGACGGGGCUCCGCACAAGCAGUGGAGGAUGUGGUUUAAUCCGAAGCUACGCGCAGAACCUUACCAAGGCUUGAAAUCCCUAUCAUACCCCUAGGAAACUAGGGGGUCAGUUCGGCUGGAUAGGUGACAGAUGCUGCAUGGCCGUCGUCAGCUCGUGUCGUGAGAUGUUGGGUUAAGUCCCGCAACGAGCGCAACCCUUGUCGUGUGUUGUAUUUUUCACGCGAGACCGCCCGGGCCAACCGGGAGGAAGGUGGGGAUGACGUCAGGUCGGCAUGGCUCUUACGCCUUGGGCCACACACGUCCUACAAUGGCUGGUACAACGGGUCGCGAAACCGCGAGGUGGAGCUAAUCCCAUCAAAACCAGUCUCAGUUCGGAUUGCAGGCUGAAACUCGCCUGCAUGAAGCUGGAAUUGCUAGUAACCGUAGGUCAGCAUACUACGGUGAAUACGUUCCCGGAGCUUGUACACACCGCCCGUCACACCACGAAAGUUGGGGGUGCCCGACGUGCCUACUUUGCUAGGCCCUAAGGCAAACCCAGUGAUUGGGGUGAAGUCGUAACAAGGUAACC
rnacentral:rRNA from 1 species